rnacentral:ncRNA from 1 species
UAAACGGUCCUUUUCAGGGCCAUCAAUAUCUUACAAAAAGAUUCUA